GUCUCAGAUCAACACGGCCCUGCCUUCCAGCACUAUCAACAGCAGGAGCAGCAGCAGCAACCCCUCAACAGCAGCAUUGUACCCAUCAGGUACCUACCUUCCUGCCAGACGGAGAAAAGAUCUGUAAACUGGCUUCUUCAUCUCCCAGCAAGUGUUUGAUAACAACCUGCAGUAUCCGACUGUCGAAUUACGCAUUUCUCAAAUUCAGCUGGAACGAUGGCGAGCGGAAAUG